AUCGUUCUCUAAUCGUAAUCUCUCAGAGUGAUCGUAGCUUUUGUACGGUUUACACCGCUCGUGAACGCUAUACUACGUGUUGUUACGCUUUGUUUUAUUUCAAUUCACAAUACUGAAAAGUUAUAGAGGUGUGAUCCUAUAGUCUCGCGGGUGUCAUAGCGAAGCGUUGUUGUGUUUGUCAUCGACGUGUUAGGGAGGAAAACGCUUCCUGGUAAUAAAUCGUCGAAUAAUUGUUCAGCAACGCGGUUUUGUACACCAACUGGAAUUCAUCAAUAGCGGUGGUCUAGUCGUCGAUCUGGUUUUUCACGCUAUAGGCUAUUUCAUAAGUACAGGCUGUUUCAGAAGAGGCGAACAUAAAAUUUGAAGCUAAGUUCAGUAUACAGAGAUUGGACAGACAGAUCCGAGAAGAUACCACAAGAAAGAUGUUGCGAUUCUUUCUUUUUUCUCUUGCUAUCUUCAUGCUUGUUGCACUGACGCAUCUCUCUCAGGGAGAGACGACAACAGAGCUGCCCUUCCUCGUGCAAAGAAUCAAGAAAAACAUCAAAACGCAAAUGAAAAUCCAGAUCGAUACAGGGAAUUCGGGAUUUAAAACCAUUUCUAAUCCACCCACAGGCGCGGCUACAAAGAUGCGUACUACAACUAUGGAACCACAACCGCUUAAUGCUUUGCAAAGCUUCAUUGAAGCACCCAACAGAUGUCUACCCGGUUCUGACUUCAUACGUGGAAGCUGUCGCAUAAGAAUUAAUUGAAAUGAAACAUGUAAAAUCGAGAUUUGGAAAUUUCCUAUAUAUCAUACAAUAUAUUCAUAAGAAAUUCUAA